UCGGAGAGACCUUCACCUGCAAAGUGGAGCACUCAGCCCUGCCCUCGCCCCUCAUCAAAUCGAUCUCCAAGAAGCCAGGUAGGAGGAGAGCAGGGUCCCUAAGGGGAGAGACUCCCCUAUCCCAGCUCCCAGCAGGGAGGGAUGCUCCUUAAGGGGAAGCCCCAACCCCCAACAACCUGGAUCCCAACCCUGGGUCCCUUUGCGUCCCCACGUGAGAUGGAGACCAUCCUAUCCCCCAUCCUGCACUCCAGGACUACCAGCUCCCAGUCCCAGCCCCUCCAUCCUGGAGGAGAGAGGGGAUGUUCCUACCCCCGCACACCACACCAUCCUUCUCCCCGCGUGGCCCCUGCUGAGUGAUGUGCAUGGCUCCCCUGUGUCCUCCAUCCCCACCCACCCAAGGCAGGUGCUCUGGCCCAGGCAUCUACCUCCUGCACCCCCACAAUGAGGAGCUGAGCAGCUCCGAAGACUCCAUCAGCCUCACCUGCCUGGUGCGGGGCUUCUUCCCCGAGGACAUCUCGGUGCAGUGGAUGAAGAACCACAAACCCAGUGAGAGCUUGGAAUACAUCAGCACCCCGCCCAUGAAGGACGAAGCCAGCGACCCGAACUUCUUCCUCUACAGCAAGCUGAAAGUCAGCAAGGCCAGCUGGAACAGCGGGGACAUCUACACCUGCAUCGUCAUCCACGAAGCCCUCUCGAUGAAGUUCACCCAACGCAGUGUCAGCAAAGUCUCUGAGGUGAUCGUGUCAGGUGAGUUUUGCAGCGAGGACGGAGACGAGGAGCUGGACGGCCUCUGGUCCACCAUCUCGGUCUUCAUCACCCUCUUCCUCUUAAGCGUCUGCUACAGCGCCACCAUGACCCUGUUCAAGGUGAAGUGGCUUUUCUCUGCCAUGGUGCAGCUGAAGGAGGCGAGCGGCCCCGAGUACAAGAACGUGAUCCAGGGCGUGGUGUAGGGGCCACUGCCCCCGUCCGCCCAGAGACAAGGGGCCAGGACUCCCGGCUCCAUUGGCGACACCACCCUGAGUCCCACAGCUGCCCCUGCUAGCGCUGUGCCCCUGGGAGACCCCCCUGGGGGGAGACAGGACCUCACCCCACAUGGCAUCAUCAGCCCUCAGCCACUGGGGACGCUGCCCUGCUGGGAGCUUGGUUGAGACCAGACAACUCAUAUCAUGCAGGGAAAUAGUGCCCCUAGGGAGGAAACAACCCCUCUCCUACUUCCCACCCUCCUGAGCCCAACAGUCCCUGCUCUGGGACUGGAUCAGAGCCAGCGCGCCCUGGAGGGGAAAGGCCCCAUGUCUCCUUCCCCACCCCCUGCGCCAGCCAGCCCCCUGCCCUGGGGCAGGACCAUAGCCAGAGUGGUGUCUGUCAUGCUGUAUGUUGCAUAUUUAGCUCUUCAUUGGGAUUUUUGUGGGUGGUGUGUGUGUGUGACUUUUGUUGU